rnacentral:lncRNA from 1 species
AAAUUCAAGAUGGAUGGAAUCACAGCGGCAGUGGAGGCUGCGGGUUGCGCGAGCCGAGUGUGAGCGGAAAGGGGCUUGGCGCCUGCCCCAGGGCUGAAGAGCGGUGAGUAACCGUCACGCUCCGCGCCCUAGGAGGACGUCGGGCCCGGUCGGGGACUACGGCCUCUCCGCAAAACGCGGCCUUUCCUGACGUAACUCUGAGGUGAUUUCUCUUCUUUUUUUCCUCCACCAGUGGGUUGCGGGCGUCGGGCCCUUUUACGCGUGCGCGGGGCCGCGGUCCUCACCGAGCAUGCCCAGACUCCCACGUAGUCGAGCGUGUCCAAGCACUGCGCAUGCUCUCUGCCCGCAUUUGGCCUCGCCCUCGCUCCUACGCAUGCUCAGCCUCCAGGCCGCUGAGCUGCUCACCCUGGCCCGGGCGGCCUGAGUAGCCGCGGUGUGCGUCUGGGGUGCUGGCCACAGCAUAGCCGUUGAGACGCCGCUGCGGGUUAGGGCGCGCUCUCUGGGGCGGGCGGGCGGCGCGCGCUCGCGCGGGGCUGGGAAACUGGCGGGCGGUGGCGGCGGCGGCGGCACCCACACCUGCAGCGGCUGGAACGUGACAGCCUGGCAGCCAGCACCUCUGGGGCCACCUCGUUUGCCCAUGCACACCCUAUCGGACCCCUCACCCCCACCCUCGGGCCCAAGGCUUUUCUUAGGAGAAAGACCCUCUUUCGGGGACAUAGCACGGAAGACCUCCCUGCAGCUCACAUCUUGGCCGGGGUCUCCCCCAUCUCCCUGGCUUGGUUAUUUGGAGCACCUUUGAGUGCUUCCUCUGCAGAGACUGCACCUUGUAAUCAAAGAACCAUGCACAUAUGUGCCCCCGAGGCUCUGGGUUCUGGAGAACCGCACACUACAGAACGUGUACAGAGAGCCUUAAACAGGUACUCCCUAAGGUUGCCCGACACAGGGGUGGUGUUGGGGGACACUGAGCCGCCCUUUGAAGCUUGGCAUUUUUUUGUGUGUUGCAUGAACUCCAAUCGCUUCUACAUCUUUGGACAUCUAUCUGUGUUACAGCAUAGUCUGGUGAUUGUUCAUCAGCAUGACCCUGAGUCAUAAGUUCCUGGGUUUGUUUCAUGGUCCUCCCACCUUGUUUCAGAGGCUGAAAGUAGGUUAAUCCAUGUUAGUGUUUCCACUGAAAACCUUCCUCCACUUCUAGUGAUUAAUCAUUACCCUUAACCUUACCCCUAAAUAUUGACGUUAAAGUAGAAAUUUGGCUUACGUAAAAAUGACUCUUUAAUUCAGCCGAUGCACUUAACAGCAUAGUGUUUUCAUUUAGUAUUUAUUGAAAGUAUAGGGAGUGUCAUUCUUAGGAAAUAGAAAUUGUUAAUAGAAACUCUCCCUUGAGGAACUGACAGUAUUGUGUGGUGGAGAAUAUUAGAUAUGACAACAGCAACAAAAGAAGUAGCGUAGAGGUCUCUAGACAAGGAGAUAACUGAGAAGCCAUUUUAGUUGUCCCAGUACUAGAGCUUAAAGGGCUGGAUUUACAAGUAUCAGAGAUUGGCCAAAGGGCAAAGGAAAGAAUAAUUUUCUGCCAGAGGAGAUAUGGCUGGCAUCAUCCAACCUAAGAAGGUGAUGAUUGAAGACAAACAGGUGUGAAAGUGUGGAUCACAGGUGCCAUGUAGGACAAGUGACUUCACUGAGAUGGAUCUCUUUAGAAGGAAGGGGGUGGGGCCUGAAGAAGUCUGAGCAGAGAUACAGAUGGAGUCAGUCCAAUUGUUAAUAUAGUCACAAAAGCUCAGGAAAGGCUGAGAAAACGCCCCCAUGCUGGGUUCUACAGACUCUGGAGAGAUAAAGAUCAACAAGUCCAAUCCCCAAGUCUAGUGAGCUUUCUUUAUGUGGUAGAUACCUGCUAAGUCCUAUGCUAGGAAUUCACAACUGAAAACAAGGGCUUUUUGGGAGAGCAUGUGGGGUGUUGUGAGGGAGCCACAUAUAAACCUGAUGCAUUGAGAUCACCACGGGGUCAUUGCAGAGCGGUGAAGUGUUGCUGUUGGCAAGUUACAAAAGCUUUAUAGUUCCCUCUGAAUCCUUCUGUACAAAGUGGCCAAGUAAAGGAGAGAUAAAAGACACGUUAGGGUUUCAGAAACUGGAAGUGCAGAUUUGUGGGUUAGAUGGUAAGGAGUGCCACUGUCUUAGUUUGGAUUUUAUUGCUGUAAAGAAAUACCAUGACCAAGGCAACUUUUAUAAAGGAAAACAUUUAAUUGGGGCUGUUUUUUUGUUUCAGAGGUUUAGUCUAUUAUAAUCAUGGUGGGAAGCAUGGAAGCAUUCAGGCAUACAUGGUAAUGAAGGAGGAGCUGAGAAUUCUACAUCUUAAUCUGAAGUCAGCAGAAGGGUACUGUGUCCACACUGGGCAUCGCUAGAGCAUAGGAGACCUCACUGCAUCCACAGUGACACACUCCAAGGAGGCCACACCUAUUCUAACAAGGCCAUAUCUCCUAAUAAUAUAACUCCCUAUGAGUUCACUCAUGUGAAUCUAUUGGGGCCAGGCCUAUUCAAACUACCACAGCCAUCCAGGUUUGGUACAGAGGUGAGUUGAUAUCAGUCAGAGAAGUCUUGUAUGCUAGUCUGUAGUUUGGGUUUUUCUAGAGAAAUAAUUUAGGGGAAAAACCCCUGUAGUCUAAAACAGGUCAGUAAAGUGGCCAGCUUUAUUUAGAGUAAGCAGUCAAAAAGCUUCAUUUCUACUCCUUAAUUUAAAUUGGAGUAGGGAGUGAAAAAUAAUCACAUAUGUAUUGUGUAAGAUCUCAAUUUGGGCAUCAUGAGGAGUGCCAAAAGUAAUAUAUUGGACUUUAAAGAGCUUGCAGUCCUGGCGGGACACACAGCCAACUAGCAUAUGCCAGGGAAUAAGCAUAAUGUGUUGAUUGGUGUACCUGCUCUGUGUGAUAACUGUUGUGCCUACUGUUGGCAGUAGGCAUUUGCUUUUUGCCUUUUUGACAAGAGACUCCAACCCAUGUUGGCCUUGAACUCAUAAUCCUCCUGCCUCAGUCUGUCAAGAACUGGCACUAUAGACAUGUGCUACAUGAUGUAUUUUGCUUACUUGUUCUAAGCUUAAGUAAGUUUAGGACUGUGUUUGUUUAGUUGGCCUGCUUUAAUUUAGUAUACAGACUCAGUGACCUAAAUAAUAGAAACUUAUUUUUUCACAGUUAUAGAAGCUGGAAAUUGGAGAUGAAAGUGGUGUUGGUAGGCCAGGUCUCUACUGUACUUCUUCCCUUGGCUUGCAGAUAGCGUCCUUGUGUGUCCUCAUAGGAUCUUCCCUCCAUGUUUGUCUCUGAUCUAAUGUCUUUGUUCAGAGACAUCACUCUUUUUUUUUUGGAUUAAGACACAUUUUAACUUAAUUAGCUGUGUCUUAAAGACCUCAGCUCCAAAUAUGAUUCCUUUGUAAGGUACAGAAGUUAGGACUUCCAACAAACAAACUAGGAUGUUGACUGGGAGUGUUUAGCCCUAAAGGAGUCCUUAAGGAUUAGAACUUGAUCUGCGCUGCAAAAGGGGUUUGGCAAAAUCUGGACGGUUCAGAUUGAGUAGUGGAGGAGGUCAGAUGGGCAGGUUGUGUCUCAGGAACAGAAACAGGAAAAAGCCACAGUAGGUAACUAAAGAAUUUUAAGAGUAGUUUGAAUAAAGGAGUCUGUAGAGGCUUUUUUUUUAAUAGGUUUUAUAUUUAGCCUGUUCUGUUUUAACUAAGAUAGUCAGGACUAUAACUUCAUUCAGUAUUAUAUCAAGGUGGUUCCUAAGCUCCCUCUGCACUGCUGGGAACUACACCAGCUCUUACACCUCUGUCUCCAUGAAGACAUUUAAGACAUUGAAACUGAAUUUUGGGGUUUCCUUAUCUCUAGACAACAGGGCUUUUUCUGUUCUGAAUAUCCCUGUGUAAAAAAUGUAAUUAUCAGCCUGGUCUACAGAGUGAGUUCCAGGACAGCCAGGGCUACACAGUAAAACCCUGUCUC